UAUAGAUUUGUGUCAGGCUCUCCUUCCUUUCCCUUCCCCGCCUCCCCUUGAGAGAGCCUCAUCCUCAGGCUAUCAUAUGGCCUUGGAAUUGUUCGGAAGACAAGGCAAGCAAAAUACGACAGCACAACAAUAAGGCAAGAGUAUCCAAUAACUUAUCAGUGUGAAAUAAAGAAAAGAAACAAUACAGAAUAUCUUGUUAAUGCAACAUCCCUGUUGAAUUUUGAACAAGUUGACAACCACCAAAGAGAAUAUGUAUCUUUUGAGCAAAGAGCAAACAAUAGAGGUAAUGUGUUCAUCAUUUCAAGUCUAAUUGAGCAUUUCCACCCAUCUCCUCCUUUUGGCACCUUGGGGAUGGUAACUUACAGUGUUGCUUUGGAGAACUUUG